rnacentral:sRNA from 1 species
UGAAUAAAAGACAUAAAUAUUACACUAUAAAUUAUUAAUAAAAAGUAAAUCAUCUGUCACCUCCUAGUUGUAAAAAUAGAAUAGCAGAGUUAAAUUAUUUUUGCACAUAGCUAAAAUCGUUUUUUCACACUCUAGACAUAGCAAAAACCCUAUUUUCCAUCUAAGAAAAUAGGGUUUUUUAUAUAUUUUAGCCUCUGAAAAUCCUUUUUUAGCUAUUUGU